UACGUAGGGUGCAAGCGUUAUCCGGAUUUAUUGGGCGUAAAGGGCUCGUAGGCGGUUCGUCGCGUCCGGUGUGAAAGUCCAUCGCUUAACGGUGGAUCUGCGCCGGGUACGGGCGGGCUUGAGUGCGGUAGGGGAGACUGGAAUUCCCGGUGUAACGGUGGAAUGUGUAGAUAUCGGGAAGAACACCAAUGGCGAAGGCAGGUCUCUGGGCCGUUACUGACGCUGAGGAGCGAAAGCGUGGGGAGCGAACAGG
rnacentral:rRNA from 1 species